GUUUGAUCCUGGCUCAGGAUGAACGCUAGCUACAGGCUUAACACAUGCAAGUCGAGGGGCAGCAUGGUCUUAGCUUGCUAAGGCCGAUGGCGACCGGCGCACGGGUGAGUAACACGUAUCCAACCUGCCGUCUACUCUUGGACAGCCUUCUGAAAGGAAGAUUAAUACAAGAUGGCAUCAUGAGUCCGCAUGUUCACAUGAUUAAAGGUAUUCCGGUAGACGAUGGGGAUGCGUUCCAUUAGAUAGUAGGCGGGGUAACGGCCCACCUAGUCUUCGAUGGAUAGGGGUUCUGAGAGGAAGGUCCCCCACAUUGGAACUGAGACACGGUCCAAACUCCUACGGGAGGCAGCAGUGAGGAAUAUUGGUCAAUGGGCGAGAGCCUGAACCAGCCAAGUAGCGUGAAGGAUGACUGCCCUAUGGGUUGUAAACUUCUUUUAUAAAGGAAUAAAGUCGGGUAUGCAUACCCGUUUGCAUGUACUUUAUGAAUAAGGAUCGGCUAACUCCGUGCCAGCAGCCGCGGUAAUACGGAGGAUCCGAGCGUUAUCCGGAUUUAUUGGGUUUAAAGGGAGCGUAGAUGGAUGUUUAAGUCAGUUGUGAAAGUUUGCGGCUCAACCGUAAAAUUGCAGUUGAUACUGGAUAUCUUGAGUGCAGUUGAGGCAGGCGGAAUUCGUGGUGUAGCGGUGAAAUGCUUAGAUAUCACGAAGAACUCCGAUUGCGAAGGCAGCCUGCUAAGCUGCAACUGACAUUGAGGCUCGAAAGUGUGGGUAUCAAACAGGAUUAGAUACCCUGGUAGUCCACACGGUAAACGAUGAAUACUCGCUGUUUGCGAUAUACUGCAAGCGGCCAAGCGAAAGCGUUAAGUAUUCCACCUGGGGAGUACGCCGGCAACGGUGAAACUCAAAGGAAUUGACGGGGGCCCGCACAAGCGGAGGAACAUGUGGUUUAAUUCGAUGAUACGCGAGGAACCUUACCCGGGCUUAAAUUGCAGAUGAAUUACGGUGAAAGCCGUAAGCCGCAAGGCAUCUGUGAAGGUGCUGCAUGGUUGUCGUCAGCUCGUGCCGUGAGGUGUCGGCUUAAGUGCCAUAACGAGCGCAACCCUUGUUGUCAGUUACUAACAGGUUCCGCUGAGGACUCUGACAAGACUGCCAUCGUAAGAUGUGAGGAAGGUGGGGAUGACGUCAAAUCAGCACGGCCCUUACGUCCGGGGCUACGCACGUGUUACAAUGGGGGGUACAGAGGGCCGCUACCACGCGAGUGGAUGCCAAUCCCCAAAACCUCUCUCAGUUCGGACUGGAGUCUGCAACCCGACUCCACGAAGCUGGAUUCGCUAGUAAUCGCGCAUCAGCCACGGCGCGGUGAAUACGUUCCCGGGCCUUGUACACACCGCCCGUCAAGCCAUGGGAGCCGGGGGUACCUGAAGUGCGUAACCGCGAGGAGCGCCCUAGGGUAAAACUGGUGACUGGGGCUAAGUCGUAACAAGGUAACC
rnacentral:rRNA from 1 species